GAUGAACGCUGGUGGCGUGCUUAACACAUGCAAGUCGAACGGAAAGGCCCAAGCUUGCUUGGGUACUCGAGUGGCGAACGGGUGAGUAACACGUGGGUGAUCUGCCCUGCACUUCGGGAUAAGCCUGGGAAACUGGGUCUAAUACCGGAUAGGACCACUUCUUGGAUGUUGUGGUGGAAAGUUUUUUCGGUGUGGGAUGAGCUCGCGGCCUAUCAGCUUGUUGGUGGGGUAAUGGCCUACCAAGGCGUCGACGGGUAGCCGGCCUGAGAGGGUGUACGGCCACAUUGGGACUGAGAUACGGCCCAGACUCCUACGGGAGGCAGCAGUGGGGAAUAUUGCACAAUGGGCGCAAGCCUGAUGCAGCGACGCCGCGUGGGGGAUGACGGCCUUCGGGUUGUAAACUCCUUUCGCUAGGGACGAAGCGUUUUGUGACGGUACCUGGAGAAGAAGCACCGGCUAACUACGUG
rnacentral:rRNA from 1 species